UACGAAGGGUGCAAGCGUUACUCGGAAUUACUGGGCGUAAAGCGUGCGUAGGUGGUUCGUUAAGUCUGUCGUGAAAGCCCCGGGCUCAACCUGGGAAUGGCGAUGGAUACUGUCGGGCUCGAGUGCGGGAGAGGCGAGUGGAAUUCCUGGUGUAGCGGUGAAAUGCGCAGAUAUCAGGAGGAACACCGAUUGCGAAGGCAGCUCGCUGGAACGUUACUGACGCUGAGACGCGAAAGCGUGGGGAGCAAACAGG
rnacentral:rRNA from 1 species